AACACAACAGGGGUCCAGUUUACUAACACGUUACAUUGAACUGAGUGUUCACAAAGAUUUAACAUCUUUUUGGUUGGAAAGUUUCUUCUACAAGAUAGAUGGAAGCCCAGAGAAGAAAGUACAGUCCUAGACCUGGAGAUGAUUUAAUUGUAGAUGCCUAGAUGAUGAUAUACCAGCCCCAGGAUAUUUACGUCGGAACAGGUAAAGUAUGAAUCAGAAUGUAAGUAUAUUUUUUUUUUAUUUAUUAAUAGUUGUACUAUAGAUAUUAAAAUAAUUUGAAUAUGUAUUACAGAUAGACGGCAGCCCAGAGAGAAGAAGAAAAAGUACAGUCCUAGACAUGGAGACGAUUAAAUUGAAGAUGCCUUGAUGAUGAUAUACCAGCCCCAGGAUAUUUACGUCGGAACAGGUAAAGUAUGAAUCAGAAUGUAAGUAUAUUUUUUUUUUAUUUAUUAAUAGUUGUACUAUAGAUAUUAAAAUAAUUUGAAUAUGUAUUGCAGAUAGACGGCAGCCCAGAGAAAAGAAGAAAGUACAGUCCUAGACCUGGAUAUAAUAAAACUGAGGAUGCCUAGAUGAUGAUAUACCAGCCCCAGGAUAUCUACAUCGGAACAGAUAGACGGCAGCCCAGAGAGAAGAAGAAAAAGUACAGUCCUAGACAUGGAGACGAUUAAAUUGAAGAUGCCUUGAUGAUGAUAUACCAGCCCCAGGAUAUUUACGUCGGAACAGGUAAAGUAUGAAUCAGAAUGUAAGUAUAUUUUUUUUUUAUUUAUUAAUAGUUGUACUAUAGAUAUUAAAAUAAUUUGAAUAUGUAUUGCAGAUAGACGGCAGCCCAGAGAAAAGAAGAAAAUACAGUCCUAGACCUGGAGAAGAUAAAAUUGAGGAUGCCUAGAUGAUGAUAUAGACGGCAGCCCAGAGAGAAGAAGAAAAAGUACAGUCCUAGACAUGGAGACGAUUAAAUUGAAGAUGCCUUGAUGAUGAUAUACCAGCCCCAGGAUAUUUACGUCGGAACAGGUAAAGUAUGAAUCAGAAUGUAAGUAUAUUUUUUUUUUAUUUAUUAAUAGUUGUACUAUAGAUAUUAAAAUAAUUUGAAUAUGUAUUGCAGAUAGACGGCAGCCCAGAGAAAAGAAGAAAAUACAGUCCUAGACCUGGAGAAGAUAAAAUUGAGGAUGCCUAGAUGAUGAUAUAGACGGCAGCCCAGAGAGAAGAAGAAAAAGUACAGUCCUAGACAUGGAGACGAUUAAAUUGAAGAUGCCUUGAUGAUGAUAUACCAGCCCCAGGAUAUUUACGUCGGAACAGGUAAAGUAUGAAUCAGAAUGUAAGUAUAUUUUUUUUUUAUUUAUUAAUAGUUGUACUAUAGAUAUUAAAAUAAUUUGAAUAUGUAUUGCAGAUAGACGGCAGCCCAGAGAAAAGAAGAAAAUACAGUCCUAGACCUGGAGACGAUAAAAUUGAGGAUGCCUAGAUGAUGAUAUACCAGCCCCAGGAUAUCUACAUCGGAACAGGUAAAGUAUGAAUCGGAAAGUAAGUAUAUUUUUUUUUUUAUUUAUUAAUAGUUGUCCUAUAGAUAUUAAAAUAAUUUGAAUAUGUAUUACAGAUAGACGGCAGCCCAGAGAGAAGAAGAAAAAGUACAGUCCUAGUCCUGGAGACGAUUAAAUUGAAAAUGACUUGAUGAUGAUAUACCAGCCCCAGGAUAUUUACGUCGGAACAGGUAAAGUAUGAAUCAGAAUGUAAGUAUAUUUUUUUUUUAUUUAUUAAUAGUUGUACUAUAGAUAUUAAAAUAAUUUGAAUAUGUAUUGCAGAUAGACGGCAGCCCAGAGAAAAGAAGAAAAUACAGUCCUAGACCUGGAGACGAUAAAAUUGAGGAUGCCUAGAUGAUGAUAUACCAGCCCCAGGAUAUCUACAUCGGAACAGGUAAAGUAUGAAUCGGAAAGUAAGUAUAUUUUUUUUUUAUUUAUUAAUAGUUGUCCUAUAGAUAUUAAAAUAAUUUGAAUAUGUAUUACAGAUAGACGGCAGCCCAGAGAGAAGAAGAAAAAGUACAGUCCUAGUCCUGGAGACGAUUAAAUUGAAAAUGACUUGAUGAUGAUGCCUGAGAAGUUUCAGUGGUACAGCUUGAAGAUGGUUCCAUUGUACAUAGAAGAUGAAGAUGAGUUAGGUUAAACCUUGUUAGAGUGAAAAAAAAAAAUAAAGCAUCAGGGAUAACAGUUCCAAGCAAGAUGGUAACAUAGAUCUUCAUUACUAACUCAGAGGCUCUGCCAUGAAAAAAAUAAAGAAGCAAGGACAGCAGCUCCAAGGAAGAUUAUUACAUUGAUCAUCUUCCAAGUCUGAUGUGUGGCCAUUAAAGAAAUAAUGUUAUUUCUGAGCGGUACAUAUAUACAAUAACUAUCUGAUUUCCAUCUGCAUGCAGAGUGAAAAAAAAAAUAAAGCAGCAGAGAUAGCAGUUCCAAGCAAGAUGGUAACAUAGAUCUUCAUUGUUAACUCAGAGGCUCUGCCAUGAAAAAAAUAAAAAAGCAAGGACAGCAGCUCCAAGGAAGAUUAUUACAUUGAUCAUCUUCCAAGUCUGAUGAGUGGCCAUUAAAGAAAUAAUGUUAUUUCUGAGCGGUACAUAUAUACAAUAACUAUCUGAUUUCCGUCUGCAUGCAGAGUGAAAAAAAACAUAAAGCAUCAGGGAUAGCAGUUCCAAGCAAGAUGGUAACAUAGAUCUUCAUUGCUAACUCAGAGGCUCUGCCAUGAAAAAAAUAAAGAAGCAAGGACAGCAGCUCCAAGGAAGAUUAUUACAUUGAUCAUCUUCCAAGUCUGAUGAGUGGCCAUUAAAGAAAUAAUGUUAUUUCUGAGCGGUACAUAUAUACAAUAACUAUCUGAUUUCCGUCUGCAUGCAGAGUGAAAAAAAAAUAAAGCAUCAGGGAUAGCAGUUCCAAGCAAGAUGGUAACAUAGAUCUUCAUUGCUAACUCAGAGGCUCUGCCAUGAAAAAAAUAAAGAAGCAAGGACAGCAGCUCCAAGGAAGAUUAUUACAUUGAUCAUCUUCCAAGUCUGAUAAGUGGCCAUUAAAGAAAUAAUGUUAUUUCUGAACGGUACAUAUAUACAAUAACUAUCUGAUUUCCAUCUACAUGCAGAGUGAAAAAAAAAAUAAAGCAUCAGGGAUAGCAGUUCCAAGCAAGAUGGUAACAUAGAUCUCAUUGCUAACUCAGAGGCUCUGCCAUGAAAAAAAUAAAGAAGCAAGGACAGCAGCUCCAAGGAAGAUUAUUACAUUGAUCAUCUUCCAAGUCUGAUGAGUGGCCAUUAAAGAAAUAAUGUGAUUUCAGUGUUUUCAUGGAUGGGAGUAAGACUUGGUGCUAUAAUAUGUCUAAUAUUUAAGCUAGCAUUAAUUACUGCUUGUCAGUAUGGAUUGUUUAGAAUGGUCAUUGGAGCUGUCUUUUAAGACAAAAUAACAACACUGGUUGAUACAAUUCUAGGAACCGGUGAAGAAGUUAAAAGUUUUACAAUAUACUGAAGACUUGCAACAGAAAAUAUUUUACUGAACAGUAUGAGAGAGCCAAGAUGAUUGUUGGAUUUAGAAUGCUUGGAAAAUACAACCAAAUGAAGACAAACAAUGCACUGCAUCAACAAACAAAACAACUACUGGAAAGUUGGGGCAUCAGUACUGAGUUCUGAUACUAAAAACAAUUGUUAAGAAGACUGUACAUACAUGUAUAUAUAUAUAUAUAUAUA